ensembl:ncRNA lncRNA:CR44493 long non-coding RNA:CR44493
CGUCGCCAUGAAUCGUUCGUCUCAAAUAUUUCUGGAGUACAUUGAGAAUUUAAUUUCCGUUGAAAGACCACCGCCUGGUGGAUUCGUUUCUCGAUCCUCUGGCAUGAAGUCAGUACGCAUUUGGUUAAGUGACAUCAACGUUACACAUCCUAGAAAAUCAAGUCAUAAGUUAAACCCACGAAUGUCCUUAAACUGGAGGCAUUUAAGAAUUAACAGAGCGAUCGGAGAUGCUUUGCAAGACAAAAAAGUGAAAAUGAAGAAAGGAAUACGUACUUAAUUAACCUAAAUAGUCGAAAUAUUUAAAGUUGAUAUCUUGUAAUUGCGCUGUUAUUAUCCAUAAAAUAAAAUAUU